CUUGGUCAUUUAGAGGAAGUAAAAGUCGUAACAAGGUUUCCGUAGGUGAACCCGCGGAAGGAUCAUUAACGAGUUUUAAAAGAGUUGUAGCUGGCCCUCUGGGGUAUGUGCACGCUCUACUCAUCCACAUACACCUGUGCACAUAGAUAGUCUUUUUUUUGAGAAGGGGAAGAAAAAGUAGCCCUUUGGGUGAAAAGUUUCCCCCCUCUUCAGAAAGCUAUUCUUUUUAUACACAUACACUUUAGUUAAGAAUGUAUAUAUUGCUAUAAAACGCAUUAAAUAUAACUUUCAACAACGGAUCUCUUGGCUCUCGCAUCGAUGAAGAACGCAGCGAAAUGCGAUAAGUAAUGUGAAUUGCAGAAUUCAGUGAAUCAUCGAAUCUUUGAACGCACCUUGCGCUCCUUGGUAUUCCGAGGAGCAUGCCUGUUUGAGUGUCAUGAAUAUCUCAACUCUCAAAGUUCUGUAAUGGAUCAUUGAGAGCUUGGACUUUGGAGGCUUGCUGGUCAUCAUGUAUCAGCUCCUCUUAAAUGAAUUAGCUCUGGAUUACGAUGUAGUUUAUCUACGGUGUGAUACAUGUCUACGCUAUUAGAUAACUACGAACGUUACAAUUCCUCCAUUUCUGGGGUUUGCGUGACUAGUAAAUACAAAGCUUCUAAUUGUCUUUCGGGACAAAACCUGAUUUCAUUAUCUUGACAUCUGACCUCAAAUCAGGUAGGACUACCCGCUGAACUUAAGCAUAUCAAUAAGCGGAGGA
rnacentral:rRNA from 1 species